AUGAACGCUAGCUACAGGCUUAACACAUGCAAGUCGAGGGGCAGCAUGGUCUUAGCUUGCUAAGGCCGAUGGCGACCGGCGCACGGGUGAGUAACACGUAUCCAACCUGCCGUCUACUCUUGGACAGCCUUCUGAAAGGAAGAUUAAUACAAGAUGGCAUCAUGAGUCCGCAUGUUCACAUGAUUAAAGGUAUUCCGGUAGACGAUGGGGAUGCGUUCCAUUAGAUAGUAGGCGGGGUAACGGCCCACCUAGUCUUCGAUGGAUAGGGGUUCUGAGAGGAAGGUCCCCCACAUUGGAACUGAGACACGGUCCAAACUCCUACGGGAGGCAGCAGUGAGGAAUAUUGGUCAAUGGGCGAGAGCCUGAACCAGCCAAGUAGCGUGAAGGAUGACUGCCCUAUGGGUUGUAAACUUCUUUUAUAAAGGAAUAAAGUCGGGUAUGGAUACCCGUUUGCAUGUACUUUAUGAAUAAGGAUCGGCUAACUCCGUGCCAGCAGCCGCGGUAAUACGGAGGAUCCGAGCGUUAUCCGGAUUUAUUGGGUUUAAAGGGAGCGUAGAUGGAUGUUUAAGUCAGUUGUGAAAGUUUGCGGCUCAACCGUAAAAUUGCAGUUGAUACUGGAUAUCUUGAGUGCAGUUGAGGCAGGCGGAAUUCGUGGUGUAGCGGUGAAAUGCUUAGAUAUCACGAAGAACUCCGAUUGCGAAGGCAGCCUGCUAAGCUGCAACUGACAUUGAGGCUCGAAAGUGUGGGUAUCAAACAGGAUUAGAUACCCUGGUAGUCCACACGGUAAACGAUGAAUACUCGCUGUUUGCGAUAUACAGCAAGCGGCCAAGCGAAAGCGUUAAGUAUUCCACCUGGGGAGUACGCCGGCAACGGUGAAACUCAAAGGAAUUGACGGGGGCCCGCACAAGCGGAGGAACAUGUGGUUUAAUUCGAUGAUACGCGAGGAACCUUACCCGGGCUUGAAUUGCAGAGGAAGGAUUUGGAGACAAUGACGCCCUUCGGGGUCUCUGUGAAGGUGCUGCAUGGUUGUCGUCAGCUCGUGCCGUGAGGUGUCGGCUUAAGUGCCAUAACGAGCGCAACCCUUGUUGUCAGUUACUAACAGGUUCCGCUGAGGACUCUGACAAGACUGCCAUCGUAAGAUGUGAGGAAGGUGGGGAUGACGUCAAAUCAGCACGGCCCUUACGUCCGGGGCUACACACGUGUUACAAUGGGGGGUACAGAGGGCCGCUACCACGCGAGUGGAUGCCAAUCCCAAAAACCUCUCUCAGUUCGGACUGGAGUCUGCAACCCGACUCCACGAAGCUGGAUUCGCUAGUAAUCGCGCAUCAGCCACGGCGCGGUGAAUACGUUCCCGGGCCUUGUACACACCGCCCGUCAAGCCAUGGGAGCCGGGGGUACCUGAAGUGCGUAACCGCGAGGAGCGCCCUAGGGUAAAACUGGUGACUGGGGCU
rnacentral:rRNA from 1 species